rnacentral:lncRNA from 1 species
CCAAUGUUUCACUGCUAACCUCUUUAAGCUCAUACAAACACCUCAGGAGUACUUUCUUCAAGUGAGAGACUUUCACCAUCCAGACAAAACACAAAAUUAAAAAGUGACCUCAGACAUAUAUUCAAGAACAGCAACAUAAUAUGAUUUGACGACAAGCAACCAAGCGGCGGAAAAUUCUAUCAGACAGAUAAGAAUCUGUUGCAGAUAAAUGCUGAAAACAUUUACCAAAACUACGAAAAGGAACGGUGAAUAAGUUCUCAUAUCCAUAUCAUGUACCAACCGAAACAUAAACAUUGGCAGUGUUUGCUACAUGAGUUUUAUUUUCAUCAAAAACCAAGAGAACCAGAAGAAGUAACAACUGAUAUGCUACUUUGUCAUAAGCAAGCAAAUCAACUUAGUCCUGGACCUCUUCUGGUUUCUUCGAUCUAAGAUACCACCCUAUGGCCCCUAAACCAGUAACAACUCCAGCUACAACUGCAUAGUUUCGGUACUUGUCAGUUGACACUCCAGAUGUUGAGGAGGUCUGACUACUAGGUUUAGCAUCAGAUACAGGUCCUGAGCUUCCUGAGCCUGUCCCUGGUUUCUCUUCUGGUGUAGGGCCCUGAAGACAAACAAACACCAAGAUUAGUUUCAGUAAAUGGGAUAAAACAAUAUAUAUAUAUAUAUACAUACAUAUAUAUAUAUAUAUAUAUAUAUAUAUAAAUAUAUAUGUAUUUCUAUUUUCCUGCUUCAAAGCUAGAAUGACUCUCGAACCGACAUGAAAAAGAAAUUGGCACCUCAGAUAACUCAGCUUCAGAUAUUAUAAUCUGAUUUUGGACAACUACUCUACUGGAAAGUUGAUAUAUUUAUCAUACAACCAAAGCCGAUAUAAAAAAAAUGAACCUCCACCAAAGUCAUUUUUUCUUUUUCGUUAUUCUUUCUGUGUACAAGUACCUCCCCUACUUUUUACUUUUUUUGUUCUCUUAUAGUUAAAUUUCUUUUUGUUUGGUAGCGGUUGAUGCUUAUCAAAUCUACUCCACAACCUCCUAUCCAACAUGCCUGCACCAUCCUACUCACAAAAAACACCCACAAACAUGGGUGAAUGCACAAGAGAGCAAAAUUGACAAACAUGGAGAGACCCAGAAAGAGGGUAUGUAGCUUGAAUAUACCUUGCGUGCGAGCUUCUCCAACUUCUCUUUUUCAAUUUUCUGCAGUUGCAAAAAAUGCUUUUUUGUUACAAACUAAUAUAACAAAUUCAAAAUUGAAAGAGUAACAGAAAAAAAAUCAGCACAAAUACAAUAUUCCUUUAGCUAACUAUACGUCCUCCCCUCCACCAAAAGGAUAAUUUGGGUUUCUAGCAUUUAAACUGACAUGUUGCUGCAACUUGUAACAUUUUCUUAAGGGGGAUACAGUCUGGAGAAAUAUAUGACAAGAAAACAGACACUAGAAAAGAGAAUCAUUACCAACUAGCCAUUCCAAAUCAAACAUUCAGGCAUUCUUGGAGAUUUAUUAAGCAUUCAAAGAAUACAGUCUCCACUUCCCACAUUAAUAGUUCUCGAUAUCACACACACAAAUCAACAAAUAAAAUAUGAAAAUUAUCUGAAUUCCUCUAUUACUGACAGUGAGACUCGUUCUUCCCCUUUCAUAAAGAGACAAGUAUAAGAGGUUACUGAUUGUUGCGUCUAUUGGUACACUAUCUUUUUUUUAGAGAGAAAGAGGGGGAGUCCCACAUAUUUCAUUGGGCAUUUAUGAAGAUUACAGCUUCACCAUGUCUACCAUAUAUUUGUGAGUUAUUCCUCGUAUCAGAUAUUUGGGAGUCCAAGAUGAAAGCAUUCUAGUUUUAAAAAGUUCACAACUACUCUGCUUUGUCCUUGACGUUUAGAUGUGCCUUCUUCAACAAGAAAAUCAAUCACACACUACAAAUGCAUUACUUACUUAGAAGUUUACACAUGAUGAUGAAAAGUGAGCUUAACGUGUAACAGUUAGGAUGAAAUUGAAGGUAUUGUAUAGACAUUCUGAAAAAAUGAAUCAGAAGAAAAAAGCAAUUAAAUGCUAUACUAGAGGCUCUAACACCAUACUGCAGUUUCCAAAUUAAACAUAGCUUUCAUAUGAUAUAUACAGGUAUCUAUUCCGAAACACAAAAUCUCUAAAUUGCUUUUUCACUAGCCAUUUGUGCUGCAAAGAAAUGGUUAUAAGAUAGUGUAACUAAAUCAUGUAGCAGUUCUUAGAUUGUAUAAAAUAUAAAUCAUGUCUACAACUAUUAAGGCAAAUCACCAUGUAGCUUAACGCCAACUAGUUUAUGUAAACAACAGACCAUUUUGUUUUUGUGUCCAUGUUGACAGAAAAGAAAGAAAACUGAACCAAAUUGACACUAAUUUCAAUGGGAAUAUGUUGUAUUAUACAAGUGCAGACACAAAAUCUCUACAAGAUAUCUUAAUGAGAAAUGACAGUUAAAGAACAACAGGCCAAGUGAAAGUGUUGGGAAAAUCCAUUGGACCAUUAGGUAAAAGUGCAGCUUAAUUACAUAAACUCCAAGCAUCAUUGAUACAACAUUUUGAAUGAAAUAUUUCUAAUUAUUGUAAAUCAAUAAAAAGGUAUAUAGUGCUUUUAAAAGAUCUCCAAAAUGAAUGAAAAACUAAUAAAACUAACACCAAAGUACACAAUAAUUCAUAUUAAGUACCUUGAUAUAGACAUUUUCAGCAGCUUUUUCCUCCUCACCCAGUACUUUGCCACUACUUGAAAGCCUACGAGAUACAUAUCUUGCAGCAACCCUUGAUGCCAUUGUUGUUUCCCUGCAAACAACACAGACAAUGACCAAAUGCCCUCACAAGGUAUCUCCAAAAAUUUUAUACGAGCCAAACAGCCAAAACCACUAUUGGUUAUUAGGAGCCUUUUCUGAAAAUACAGAUCAGCCUCUAACCCACAAGCCACAACUAGUUUGAGAGAAAACUUCUUGUUGAGCAAAAACUAAAGCUUGUCAUUAUUUGUGAGGCAAAGCAAUGGGAAUCCACGAAAGUCCCUCAAACAAUUAAAUAAGGAACUUGUAGUGUUACCAAAAAGAUAAAAUGGAUUUCUAAUAAAAUCUUCUCUAGCUGUGUGAGAACUAAAAUAGAAAAUCCAACUCUACUGGACAACCAUGAUGAAGAGUCAUUACUCAUUCGUAUAAAAUGUGCUAUUCUCCAUUCCUAUUUAAACUGUUCACAUACACACACACACACAUGAAUGUACAACUAGAAAUACUAAAAUUUUCAAAAGCAAUGUUUGCAUUUUCAGGGACAGCGAAACACAACCUACCAGAUAUGAGAAAUAAACAAACUGAAGGACAUAAUAAAUAAACUAAACAUAGACAUAAAUACAGAUUACAAACCACUUGAAUAAAAUUUUAAAUUAAAACAUGUACGCCAAUAAUAUUGUCUGUGAAGAACAGUUCAAAUAUUAACCAUAUUCAGUGUUGCAAAUGAAUUUGGAAGAAAUUCGAGCAUUCAUCAACUACACGCAAACAAUCAAUAUCACAGGUGAAAUAAAAGGUAAACAAACCCUGAUAUAGACAGUAAUUUAAUGAAGCAGAUGCAUUCAUAGGAAAAAUUUACCAGAAGUUUGUAAGAGUACAACCUAUAUGCGAAUCAUAGCCAAUUACAAACGAAAUUAUAAACAUAUUGACAGCAUUUCAAAUUCAUAGGAAGAACUAAAGCAUUCAUCGACUAAAUACAUAACCAAUCAUUCAACAUCAAAGAUGAAAACAAAAUGUUAAUAAACCCUAAAUUAUAAACACAUAAUAACCAAAAAAUUACACAAAGAAAGAUUAAAUUCAAUAGUUGCACAAACAGGUAAUGCUCACCUAGAAGUUUGCCGGUCGUAGAGAGAAAGAAACACUAGUGAGAAAAGUUAGAGAAAAGGGUACCGAGGGUUUUAUGGGUUUAUUUGUAUUCCUCGUCUGGAUUGUCAGCCUCUGAUCAAAUUUGUUUUGGGCUGAUAAGCCCAGCAG